rnacentral:rRNA from 1 species
UACGUAGGUGGCAAGCGUUGUCCGGAUUUACUGGGCGUAAAGAGCGCGCAGGCGGUCGUUCAAGUCGCGUGUGAAAGCCCCCGGCUCAACUGGGGAGGGUCACGCGAUACUGAUCGACUCGAAGGCAGGAGAGGGUAGUGGAAUUCCCAGUGUAGUGGUGAAAUGCGUAGAUAUCGCUUGGAACGCCAACGGUGAAAACAGGUGACUGGGGCCGCGCUGACGCUGAGACACGAAAGCCAGGGGAGCGAACGGG